rnacentral:rRNA from 1 species
UACGGAGGAGGCUAGCGUUGUUCGGAAUUACUGGGCGUAAAGCGCACGUAGGCGGCUUUGUAAGUUAGAGGUGAAAGCCCGGAGCUCAACUCCGGAACUGCCUUUAAGACUGCAUCGCUUGAAUCCAGGAGAGGUGAGUGGAAUUCCGAGUGUAGAGGUGAAAUUCGUAGAUAUUCGGAAGAACACCAGUGGCGAAGGCGGCUCACUGGACUGGUAUUGACGCUGAGGUGCGAAAAGCGUGGGGAGCAAACAGG